AUGAGUCAUUGGAAGAACUCGUGAGCUGCAGUUGGCUGCAUGAUUUCAAAGGCCUGACUCAUUGCUUCAGUGUCUGCAUUAAAAACGGCACAGAGGUUUUGUUUAGAAUGGCAAGAGCUUCUGAAACAGUGAAGGAGGCUAAGAGAACAAAGGGAAUAAGAAGGUUGGUCUUUGGAACAAUGGUGCUUUUUUCCCCAUCAGAAAAAGGAGGAAUUGUAUGGCUGGAAGCUGUUGCUGAAUUGGUUUUUGUUAGAUAAGGAAACAAGGGAAAAGAAAGAUCAUCCAGAGAUGACCACAAGAUAAAUGGAAACGCUAAAUCACGGAACAACCUAGGAUUUCUCUAUGUGUCUAGCUAUCAUUUCAGCACUUUAACAAGACAAGGCUAAGUCUUCAAAGACAGCCAGAAAAUUGUUCUGCAAACAAAAGGUUUGCCUGCUUCCUCCGAUUUAAGCCUGCAGUUAUAUCCAUAGAGAUGGAACUUGGAGACUUGAAAAUGGCAUCGCUUCUUACUAUUUCAGGAUAAGGUUGGAUUUGGGUUGGAUUUGGGCCGGUUGUUGUAGCUGAUUUUAUUAUCAGCCUGUUGGAUAUGUACAUGCUUUCUGGAGAGUCUUAGCAAAUUUUAAACUUAUACACGAAGACUGCAAAGCAAAGUGUUUGCCAGCUUUUUGAUUACUAAUCAAGCAAAGUUAGAAAGCUCCCUGCUGCAACUGAAGUUUUGAUUGGGAGGGGAAAAAAGAAAAAAAAGAAACCCUAAUUGACAAAAUCCAGAAAUGGAUUUUCAACUCUGGGCAAGAUCUGAAAAAAUAAACAUGGUAUUUG